CAAAAUCUAGUAUAUAGAUGGUGACUUAGGGAUGGUGGUUGAUGGGUAAAAUGAUGAAUUACCUGAGUUUAAAUCUGAAACGACUUGGGAGAAAUAAGGCAGCGUUGGCUAAGGGCUUUGCUGUGGUUAUUUGCUUUGUCUGACGACAUUUCUGCUUACAAGGCACGAACACGCUUCAUUUCAACUAUGCCCUUGUUGAAUUCGAUUACAUCUGACAAACAUGCUCAUCAACAUGUGUGGUCCUCAAGCUUCCAACUCACAAGCGUCUCAGCCCACAAAUUCAGAUUCGCUUACUCAGGCUUGAUCUCCAAGUACCUACCUUCUG
rnacentral:lncRNA from 1 species